GAUGAACGCUGGCGGCGUGCCUAAUACAUGCAAGUCGAGCGAACGGACGAGAAGUUUGCUUCUCUGAUGUUAGCGGCGGACGGGUGAGUAACACGUGGAUAACCUACCUAUAAGACUGGGAUAACUUCGGGAAACCGGAGCUAAUACCGGAUAAUAUUUUGAACCGCAUGGUUCAAAAGUAAAAGACGGUCUUGCUGUCACUUAUAGAUGGAUCCGCGCUGCAUUAGCUAGUUGGUAAGGUAACGGCUUACCAAGGCAACGAUGCAUAGCCGACCUGAGAGGGUGAUCGGCCACACUGGAACUGAGACACGGUCCAGACUCCUACGGGAGGCAGCAGUAGGGAAUCUUCCGCAAUGGGCGAAAGCCUGACGGAGCAACGCCGCGUGAGUGAUGAAGGUCUUCGGAUCGUAAAACUCUGUUAUUGGGGAAGAACAUAUGUGUAAGUAACUGUGCACAUCUUGACGGUACCUAAUCAGAAAGCCACGGCUAACUACGUG
rnacentral:rRNA from 1 species